rnacentral:sRNA from 23 species
GUUAUGCGGCGCGAAAGGCGGUGAGAGAAAAAUGGAUAACCAGCCGAUCUGCCACAGCCUGUGGACAAGGCGCGAACUGGCAGAACCGUUGGCUUCGUCAAGACACCCAGGAGUGCUGCCUCAGCUCCUGGCGCUGUC